GACGAACGCUGGCGGCGUGCUUAACACAUGCAAGUCGAACGGAAAGGCCCUGCUUUUGUGGGGUGCUCGAGUGGCGAACGGGUGAGUAACACGUGAGUAACCUGCCCUUGACUUUGGGAUAACUUCAGGAAACUGGGGCUAAUACCGGAUAGGAGCUCCUGCUGCAUGGUGGGGGUUGGAAAGUUUCGGCGGUUGGGGAUGGACUCGCGGCUUAUCAGCUUGUUGGUGGGGUAGUGGCUUACCAAGGCUUUGACGGGUAGCCGGCCUGAGAGGGUGACCGGCCACAUUGGGACUGAGAUACGGCCCAGACUCCUACGGGAGGCAGCAGUGGGGAAUAUUGCACAAUGGGCGGAAGCCUGAUGCAGCAACGCCGCGUGCGGGAUGACGGCCUUCGGGUUGUAAACCGCUUUCGCCUGUGACAAAGCGUGAGUGACGGUAUGGGUAAAGAAGCACCGGCUAACUACGUGCCAGCAGCCGCGGUGAUACGUAGGGUGCGAGCGUUGUCCGGAUUUAUUGGGCGUAAAGGGCUCGUAGGUGGUUGAUCGCGUCGGAAGUGUAAUCUUGGGGCUUAACCCUGAGCGUGCUUUCGAUACGGGUUGACUUGAGGAAGGUAGGGGAGAAUGGAAUUCCUGGUGGAGCGGUGGAAUGCGCAGAUAUCAGGAGGAACACCAGUGGCGAAGGCGGUUCUCUGGGCCUUUCCUGACGCUGAGGAGCGAAAGCGUGGGGAGCGAACAGGCUUAGAUACCCUGGUAGUCCACGCUGUAAACGGUGGGUACUAGGUGUGGGGUCCAUUCCACGGGUUCCGUGCCGUAGCUAACGCUUUAAGUACCCCGCCUGGGGAGUACGGCCGCAAGGCUAAAACUCAAAGGAAUUGACGGGGCCCCGCACAAGCGGCGGAGCAUGCGGAUUAAUUCGAUGCAACGCGUAGAACCUUACCUGGGUUUGACAUGGAUCGGGAGUGCUCAGAGAUGGGUGUGCCUCUUUUGGGGUCGGUUCACAGGUGGUGCAUGGCUGUCGUCAGCUCGUGUCGUGAGAUGUUGGGUUAAGUCCCGCAACGAGCGCAACCCUUGUUCACUGUUGCCAGCACGUUAUGGUGGGGACUCAGUGGAGACCGCCGGGGUCAACUCGGAGGAAGGUGGGGAUGACGUCAAGUCAUCAUGCCCCUUAUGUCCAGGGCUUCACGCAUGCUACAAUGGCUGGUACAGAGAGUGGCGAGCCUGUGAGGGUGAGCGAAUCUCGGAAAGCCGGUCUCAGUUCGGAUUGGGGUCUGCAACUCGACCUCAUGAAGUCGGAGUCGCUAGUAAUCGCAGAUCAGCAACGCUGCGGUGAAUACGUUCCCGGG
rnacentral:rRNA from 1 species